rnacentral:rRNA from 1 species
AGCCCGUUGGUGAGGUAACGGCUCACCAAGGCGACGAUCGAUAGGUGGUCUGAGAGGAUGAUCACCCAGACUGGGACUGAGACACGGCCCAGACUCCUACGGGAGGCAGCAGUCGGGAAUUUUGCUCAAUGGGGGAAACCCUGAAGCAGCAACGCCGCGUGAGGGAUGACGGCCUUCGGGUUGUAAACUUCUUUUGUCAGGGACGAUAAUGACGGUACCUGAAGAAUAAGCCACGGCUAACUACGUGCCAGCAGCCGCGGUAAUACGUAGGUGGCAAGCGUUGUCCGGAUUUACUGGGCGUAAGAGCGCGCAGGCGGCCAGGUCAGUCGAAUGUGAAAGCCCCCGGCUCAACUGGGGAAGGUCGUUCGAUACUGCUUGGCUCGAAGGUAGGAGAGGGAAGUGGAAUUUCAGGUGUAGUGGUGAAAUGCGUAGAUAUCUGAAGGAACACCAGUGGCGAAGGCGACUUUCUGGCCUAUUCUUGACGCUGAGGCGCGAAAGCUAGGGGAGCGAACGGGAUUAGAUACCCCGGUAGUCCUAGCCGUAAACGAUGAACACUAGAUGUUGGCGGUAUCAACCCCGCCAGUGUCGCAGCUAACGCAUUAAGUGUUCCGCCUGGGGAGUACGGCCGCAAGGCUAAAACUCUAAGGAAUUGACGGGGGCCCGCACAAGCAGCGGAGCGUGGGGUUUAAUUCGACGCAACGCGAAGAACCUUACCAAGGCUUGACAUGACCAGGAAUCCGGCGGAAACGUCGGCGCCUCGCAAGAGGCCUGGCCACAGGUGUUGCAUGGCUGUCGUCAGCUCGUGUCGUGAGAUGUUGGUUAAGUCCCGCAACGAGCGCAACCCCUACUAUGUGUUGUAUCACUCACAUGGGACUGCCGAGAGAAACUCGGAGGAAGGUGGGGAUGACGUCAAGUCAGCAUGGCCCUUACGUCUUGGGCUACACCCACGCUACAAUGGCCGGUACAACGGGCUGCGAAACCGCGAGGUGGAGCUAAUCCCUUAAAGCCGGUCUCAGUUCGGAUCGCAGGCUGCAACUCGCCUGCGUGAAGCCGGAGUUGCUAGUAACCGUGGGUCAGCAUACCGCGGUGAAUAUGUUCCCGGGCCUUGUACACACCGCCCGUCACGUCAUGGAAGCCGACAACACCCGAAGCCAGUGAGCCAACCGCAAGGAGGCAGCUGUCGAAGGUGGGGUUGGUGACUGGGACGAAGUCGUAACAAGGUAGCCGUACCGGAGGGUGCGGCUG